UACGAAGGGGGCUAGCGUUGUUCGGAUUUACUGGGCGUAAAGCGCACGUAGGCGGUUUGUUAAGUCAGGGGUGAAAUCCCGGAGCUCAACUCCGGAACUGCCUUUGAUACUGGCAAGCUAGAGUCCGGAAGAGGUGAGUGGAACUCCUAGUGUAGAGGUGGAAUUCGUAGAUAUUAGGAAGAACACCAGUGGCGAAGGCGGCUCACUGGUCCGGUACUGACGCUGAGGUGCGAAAGCGUGGGGAGCAAACAGGAUUAGAUACCCCCGUAGUCC
rnacentral:rRNA from 1 species